rnacentral:rRNA from 1 species
AAUGGACGCUGGCGGCAUGCCUAACACAUGCAAGUCGAACGAAGCCUUCGGGCUUAGUGGCGCACGGGUGCGUAACGCGUGGGAAUCUGCCCUUGGGUUCGGAAUAACUCUCCGAAAGGAGUGCUAAUACCGGAUGAUGUCGAAAGACCAAAGAUUUAUCGCCCAGGGAUGAGCCCGCGUAGGAUUAGCUAGUUGGUGAGGUAAAAGCUCACCAAGGCGACGAUCCUUAGCUGGUCUGAGAGGAUGAUCAGCCACACUGGGACUGAGACACGGCACAGACUCCUACGGGAGGCAGCAGUGGGGAAUAUUGGACAAUGGGCGAAAGCCUGAUCCAGCAAUUCGGCGUGAGUGAUGAAGGCCUUAGGGUUGUAAAGCUCUUUUACCCGGGAUGAUAAUGACAGUACCGGGAGAAUAAGCCCCGGCUAACUCCGUGCCAGCAGCCGCCGUAA